rnacentral:lncRNA from 1 species
GCUUAAACUCAUUAUUCACAAAAUAAACCGAAGAAAAUAAAGCUCCAGACACGGAUACCAUGGAGUUCACCUGCUGCUGAAUGUUUGUAUCAGCUGUUUUCUGGAGGAAGGCAGGAAGCAACCUUAGCUCGGUACUGUUAGUUUCAAGCCAGUUGGCUCUGUUAGUUUCAAGCUGAGACGCUGUCUGUUUAACCAGAAAACUGACCAAUGAACUCUGAAAUCGUUCAGAACCUGCAAACAGCAUGAACAAGUCAAUUAAGCUGGUCCAUUUGGAACAGAUCAACUGCUUCCAGACAUUUCAGCUUCUAAUAUCUUGCUGGAAUCUGGUUGCGUCCACCGAACAGUUCUAGUAGUUUCCACAUCUCAUUCACUAUCAAAGUAUGAAUUUUAGUCAUUAUGCACCAAGUAAGAGAAGAAUUCACAGCAGAUGCUAACUUAAACUCAUUAUUCACAAAAUAAACCGAAGAAAAUAAAGCUCCAGACACGGAUACCAUGGAGUUCACCUGCUGCUGAACGUUUGUAUCAGCUGUUUUCUGGAGGAAGGCAGGAAGCAACCUUAGUUCGCUACUGUUAGUUUCAAGCCAGUUGGCUCUGUUAGUUUCAAGCUGAGACGCUGUCUGUUUAACCAAUACAAACCUGGAGAGCACAUUAGUCUGCUUCAAAUCAGAACAAGGCAGGCUGCACAGAACGACUUCAAUGUUGUACCGGCAUAUGCACUUGACUUUGCACAUGUUUGCGUUUUAUGCAUUUGCCCGCGCUUGUAUUCUGUGACAGCAGGCUCCAAGUCCU